GGAGGAAAGUAGGGGAUCGAAAGACCUUAUGCUUUUGGAGCGGCCGAUGUCUGAUUAGCUAGUUGGUAAGGUAAUGGCUUACCAAGGCGACGAUCAGUAGUUGGUCUGAGAGGACGACCAGCCACACUGGGACUGAGACACGGCCCAGACUCCUACGGGAGGCAGCAGUGGGGAAUUUUGGACAAUGGGCGCAAGCCUGAUCCAGCAAUGCCGCGUGAGUGAAGAAGGCCUUCGGGUUGUAAAGCUCUUUCAGUCGAGAAGAAAAGAUUACUGAUAAUACCAGUAAUCCAUGACGGUAUCGACAGAAGAAGCACCGGCUAACUACGUGCCAGCAGCCGCGGUAAUACGUAGGGUGCGAGCGUUAAUCGGAAUUACUGGGCGUAAAGGGUGCGCAGGCGGUUAUGUAAAUCGAGAUGUGAAAUCCCCCCCGGGGGGGGA
rnacentral:rRNA from 1 species